AUCAGAAGUCCUUUGGCAAACAGCCAAACGCAAUAUGGUGUCCCAGUGAUUUCAAAGCCCCAACUCUAAUCCUUGUAGGCCUCGUUUGUGGAGUAUUUUUGUUACUACAAAACUGGUUCAGUUUGGUUUUGGUUCGUCUAAAACCAAACUCAUCCGAUUUUAACCGAAUUCGAUAAAGAAACACCGUUUGUUCUAACCCACACAAUAUACUUUUCAUAUACCUCCUCUUUGCUUACCUCGACUUCUGUUUUCACUCAGCUUUAGGGUUAUCUUUGUCAAAACAAAAAGGAGAGGGAGAGAGAGGAUGCAGAACUGGAGAAAGAGAUGUAAGUCAAGUCAAUGGUCACAACCAUUUUGGUUUUUAAGAUGAAAAUAAAAACAAUUGACUUUGGAUUCAGCGGAGACGAAGCCGGCCUUUCUUGUUCUUAUUGGGUCUACAAAAAGGAGAAAACUUUUCAGUCUCCAGUGGUUUCAUCAUCAUCAGGCAAGUUACUCAACGUUCAUGUGUUCGGAGACUUCAAUAGAUAGUUGAGCUGGAGAGGAAUGUGCAAGCUUUACAGGCA